UACGGAGGGUGCAAACGUUGCUCGGAAUCAUUGGGCGUAAAGCGCACGUAGGCGGUCCGGUAAGUCGGGUGUGAAAGCCCUCGGCUCAACCGAGGAAGUGCAUUCGAAACUACCGGACUUGAGUAUGGAAGAGGGUCGCGGAAUUCCCGGUGUAGAGGUGAAAUUCGUAGAUAUCGGGAGGAACGCCAGUGGCGAAGGCGGCGACCUGGGCCAAUACUGACGCUGAGGUGCGAAAGCGUGGGGAGCAAACAGG
rnacentral:rRNA from 1 species